rnacentral:lncRNA from 1 species
GUGCACAUUCUUGUGGGCUGAGUUCAGGGUUUGGCCACAGGCUAGUCUCCUGUCUCCACAGCUAAUAGGGGGUUUGGUGUAGGCCCUGGCAUCCCCACCAGUGGUUUGCUUUGUAAUUUUUCCCUCUUGGCCUGUGGGAGGACUGAGGCAUGGUGUCUAGAACUCCUGCGCAGCUGCAGGCCUGCUUGGAGGGUGAGGUGGCUGUUGUGGGGCAGGUGAGAGCACGCCAGGGCCAUAGCUAACCUCCAGCCUUCAUGAAGAGCCCAUGGCAACUCUGUGGGAAUCCUUCCAGCAGCCCGCUUAUGGCUGGAGACAGAGGUGUGGCUUCUAUCUAAGCUUUUCCCUCUGACUCAGUCCAGGAGGCAACUGUCUUGGGAAGCAAAUGAUAACAGCAUCUGGGAGAUUCUCUUCUGGAUGGACUAGCAGGGAAUCAGGACAUGAACUCAGUGGACUAACUGCACCGAGACUCACCUGGUCAUUACUUGAAGGUCAUUACUUAAACCUCCAUGAAUCUCCUGAUGAACUCCCUCAGAAGGUGGAAGGAGCACCUGACACCGACCCGAGAUCAGCAGCAGCUACGCCCACGCUGUGGGCAGUUAAGAGGCAGCCAGUGGUACCAGUCGUGAGCGAUCAGAUUUGAGGACUCAGGAUUCUGGUUUCCUGAGUGUCAUGGACCUGCGGGCUGCAGAAAUGACAGCGACAGGUCUUCAGGCAGGUGCCACAGCACCCACACACUGCCAGCAUUUUGUGCAAAAUACCCAAAGCCACAUCACCAGAUCUGGGCUCUCCUAGCUUCCCUUUGCUAAAAUGCUGGCCAAAGAGCUUAACGAGCCACUCAGGGGCACAAGAUAGGUGAAACCUGCAUGUUUUGUUUGUUAAACUAUUUGCCACAUGGCACAAGAAAAUAACAAAAAAUAAACAAAAGGAAUAACUGCAGCAUCAUGGUUUUGUUAAGAUGUCCCAAAGCUGAUCAGGGCUUCCUGUUGAAAUCUAAAUGAGACUCUUCCUAGGUGGCUUACAUUCAGUCAGCUGUGGCUCUGUGCAAAGAAAACCAGUUUCCCUUGCUCAGAAAUUUGGAGCCACUGAUAAGAGAAGAAAAGUGUGAUUCCACAUGGAGGGUCAUGAUACAAUCUGAUCUCUGACCCCGUGGAGGUGAAGGGGCUUGUUCUGCAUGCCAGGCUGAGGACUCUCGGGACUGAGGCAUUCAGAGUCGCAGCUUUAAAUCAUAAGGGUUCCCUGCCCAUUUCAUCACAAGUCAGCAGCAUCCAAAGAGUGGCGUUGAAGAAAAUCUCAUCACCGUGGGCUCAGUUUAGAUUGCUAGUCGGCUCAGAAAGCUACCUGCAAUUGCGUUUCCAGGAUGCACCACAAAUACUCUCCACAUGAGGGAGAACAUCAGUGGAUGAAACUCAGCAUGCUUAGUGCGGGGCCAAGUCCUCUAACAAAGGACACAGCGGUUAACCUGCAUUUCGAGGACAGGCACUGUCAAGCCCUCAUCAGGGAUCCAUCCAGAGAACUUUGGUAAUUCUUGCAAAAUCCCUGUAUCACACAAUUUCCUUCCUUAAUGUGAUGAAGUGUAACGGACACAUCUAUAAAGCUUCUUCAGUCCUGCAAUGCAUAGAUGAGCAGAAGGCCACAAAGCCAGGUUGGUUGCAGGGACGGGGCAGCAGGCAAGGCAUGGUCACUGUGGAAAGUGACGGAGGCCACUUUUAACAGGUAGUCCAGCCAAGUGUGGGCCACAGUAUCUUCUGUGCUUCCCAUCAGGCCUUCACCUGUGGCCUUAUUUUGUGGCUGCACUGAAACAUGCUUGACACCAAGGUUUUCUUCAAACGUCAGCUUCCAUUCAUCCCACCGUGGUACUUGUCCCUGUUGUCCUAUGCCACCGUCUCCUCUUUUUGAAAGAUUCACAGACUCCACUCCCCACUCCCUGACCCCCUAACUUGGACAGAGUGCGAUAUUUUUCCCUUGUGAUUGAAUACAAUUCUCAGGCUUAUCUAUGUAUCUCAGGCAAACAUAUGCCCACAUAUGUAUAUGUGCGUAUAAGUGAGCAUUUAAGCUAUUGUAUUGUAAUUGUUGGUUGGCUCAUGUGUUCCUCACACUAGUCUCUUUGAGGCAUGAGACCUUGCUCAUUUUAUGUUUGUAUCCUCCCAGAACAUACUAUGUGCUUAAUUUAUAAUUGUUAAAUUAGCGAAGGUAUUCCUGAUGCUAUCCAGCAUAGUCUUAUAUGGUAAGAUAUUUGAUGAAAAUAUUUCUCUGUUGAUUGCUGAUUCCAAUUCAUGAUCUCUAAGACACCAUCUUAAAUUUCAUGCUCACAAACUAAGAGCUAGUUGAGGGAUUGUAUUAGGUAUAAUCUGUGUAUGUGUAUAUUCCUGUGUUACAGGUCAUAGCACUCUCUACCAUCAGAAUGGAGCCUGCCUGAAUGUGAGCUCAGUGAGAGGCAGAUUCCAUUCUUGGGCCCGUCCACGGUGACUUGUCUGCUCUGCUCCAUCAUCCACUUAUUCACAAGUUCUGGGGCAACAAAGGGCACGUUUUGUUUCAUCUUGUGCCAAACCCUCGAUGUGUACUCACUCACUCUACCUCAUCUCAAGAACUUCAGGGCUGGGAGUGCAUUUGGAGAGAAGGCAUGUGCAAUAUCUGGAAGCCUUAGCACAGGUGGGUUAUACUGAUGCUCUAUAGCCAAACUAUAGGAACUUGGGUUCUAAGGCCAGCAGGCCCAGGUGUCACCCCAAUGGCUCCCUUCAACAGCAGCAUAAAUAAGUCAUGUCAGAAGAACUCACAUUAGCCAUCUCCAGGACUCAUUUCCCUCUCAACAGCAGGAGCUCCUGCAGUCAGAACAGCGGUAAUUUUCAAAUCAGGCAUGUGGUGAUGCAGCAGGAAAGUGCCUGCAUCCCAGGUGUCCCAGCAGCUUUCUGGAGACCUCUAAUACCCACAUCUGCACCACAAAACUGCACAGCAUUGAGUGAUACCAAUCUUCUUAUACAUAUAGGUAAGUGGUAAUAGAAUGCCUCAACAGCAGACCACCCAGGAACCAAAGACAUACUGGAUUUUCAAGUCAGAAGAAUGCUUAGAGAUCAUCUGACCCAAUAGCCAUAUUUUACAGUAAGAUGCAGAAGCCAGUGUCCACAGUGCUAAAGCCACUGGUCCAAGGUGAAAGAAUUUCAAACCCAUAAAUACCUCCAAGAAGCUUCCACUGGGACCCUAUGAUUUUAGUAAAAUUAUCAACAUUCAUGACCUAUGUCUACUGAUCUUAGCGUCUUCUCAGUAGGCAAUUAUUCUUUCUCACAUCAAUUUGCAGUUGCUAUAUUAUCAGCAUCCUUGGUAAAUCCAUCUUGUGUUCUGGGUGAAGACUAACAGAUUCUUCCUUCUUGGACUCUGUCAUUCACUCUCAUCCCUCAUAACAUCUGGCCACUGCUCUAAACACAGUGGCCUUUGAGAAAUGCUGCUGAAUUCUGACUAAGAAAGAGGAGAACUUUCAAAUACAAGAAAGUGAACAUUAUAGAGCUUACCACUCAAGAUGGUUUUCUACAAAUGCGGACAUGGGGCUGAUCUGCACCGUGUAAGUAUCAUUUGCCGAGUACUCAAAGAGUCCAUAGUAAGGGUUGAAGAGCUCCUGAGACAGAAGGAAGAAGAACUCCCGCGAGGGGCCACUGUAGUCCAGGCUGCAAAGAAAGCAGAGGUCCAGGAAGCUCAUUCUGUGCCCGGAGGUGGGGGGACCUGUUUGCACCCAGAUUCUAGUGUGCCCUUUCAGAGUUGGGUGCUGGGGAAAGCAGAGAGCAGCCUCUGCUCUUUGGAGUGAAUGCCAAUGGCAGCAUCAAUUUGCUGUAGAAAAUGAGGAUGCAGUAAUUGGUUUGGAGAUGUUUCUUAACCAGAUGUCCAUGAAUAAACUCUUAUGGCAGCUUUCCUUAGUGUUUUCUUUUGAUCAUCUAACACCUCUGAGCUAAAACACACAGCUGGCCCAUUGAAUACAAGGCCUUUGUUGUGGGACACAUAAAAGAAUUUCCUGCAACAGUGAAUGUGUGCAUGCAUGUGUGUGUG